rnacentral:rRNA from 1 species
AUUGAACGCUGGCGGCAGGCCUAACACAUGCAAGUCGAACGAGUGGCGGACGGGUGAGUAAUGUCUGGGAAACUGCCCGAUGGAGGGGGAUAACUACUGGAAACGGUAGCUAAUACCGCAUACCAUCGGAUGUGCCCAGAUGGGAUUAGCUAGUAGGUGGGGUAACGGCUCACCUAGGCGACGAUCCCUAGCUGGUCUGAGAGGAUGACCAGCCACACUGUAACUGAGACACGGUCCAGACUCCUACGGGAGGCAGCAGUGGGGAAUAUUGUACAAUGGGCGCAAGCCUGAUGCAGCCAGGCCGCGUGUAUGAAGAAGGCCUUCGGGUUGUAAAGUACUUUCAGCGGGGAGGCGUUACUCGCAGAAGAAGCACCGGCUAACUCCGUGCCAGCAGCCGCGGUAAUUC